GUGCCAGCCGCCGCGGUAAUACGUAGGGGGCGAGCGUUGUCCGGAUUUAUUGGGCGUAAAGAGCUCGUAGGCGGUUCGAUAAGUCGGACGUGAAAUCUCCACGCUCAACGUGGAGGGGCCGUUCGAUACUGUCGUGACUCGAGUCCGGUAGGGGAGUGUGGAAUUCCCGGUGUAGCGGUGAAAUGCGCAGAGAUCGGGAGGAACACCCGUAGCGAAGGCGGCACUCUGGGCCGGUACUGACGCUGAGGAGCGAAAGCGUGGGGAGCAAACAGGAUUAGAAACCCCCGUAGUCC
rnacentral:rRNA from 1 species